rfam:Triticum aestivum genome assembly, contig: Triticum_aestivum_CS42_TGACv1_scaffold_579279_7BL
CAAGUACUCCCUCCGUUCGGAAUUACUCGUCCAAGAAAUGAAUGUAUCUAGAUGUAUUUUAGUUGUAGAUACAUCCAUUUUUCUGACAAGUAAUUUCAAACGAAGGGAGUACAAC